rnacentral:rRNA from 1 species
AGCAGCCGCGGUAAUUCCAGCUCCAAUAGCGUAUAUUAAAGUUGCUGCAGUUAAAAAGCUCGUAGUUGAAUUUCGGGACCAUCAUGUCGGUCGUGCCUCGGUACGUACUGGCAUCGUUGGUUUCUCCCUUCUGACGAACCAUGAUGUCAUUUAUUUGGUGUCGUGGGGAAUCAGGACUGUUACUUUGAAAAAUUAGAGUGUUUAAAGCAGGCUCACGCUUGAAUACAUUAGCAUGGAAUAAUGAAAUAGGACGAUCGAUCCUAUUUUGUUGGUUUCUAGGAUUGACGUAAUGAUUAAUAGGGAUAAUUGGGGGCAUUAGUAUUCAAUUGUCAGAGGUGAAAUUCUUGGAUUUAUUGAAGACUAACUACUGCGAAAGCAUUUGCCAAGGAUGUUUUCAUUAAUCAAGAACGAAAGUUAGGGGAUCGAAGACGAUCAGAUACCGUCGUAGUCUUAACCAUAAACCUAUGCCGACUAGGGAUCGGAUGAUGUUAAUUUUUAAUGUACUCUAC